rnacentral:rRNA from 1 species
GCCAGCCGGUUAUUGUAGAAGGAUAUUUUUGUCUGUUGUAGUCUUGUAAAAUAAAUACUGAAGCGUUGUUCGAGUAUUAGAUAAAAAAGUGAGUUUAAUGAUAAGUGAUGAUAAGUACCAUGAGGGAAUAUAGAGUUGUUAGUUAUUAAGUAGUGGUAAGCGCGUACCUUUUGCAUCAUGGCUUAACAAGUAUAUUUGCUAAAGGGCUUUUCUCGAAACCUUGUGAGCGUCCUUUAUAUAUUAGCUUGGAAAAUUAUUAAUCUGCUCAUGUGGCAAAAUGGGGGAUAAAUAUAAAGGAAGUGUUGAGAUUUCAUUCGUACAAGGGGAUAGCUAGUUACUUCAAAAAUGCAUCUUGGUGCAGUAGUUAUUCUAGAUUUAAAGUAUUACAGGUAAAUUUUAAUAUUUUAUAUGUUUGUGACUAAUGAGAUUCUCGAAGCUAAGUUCGAGAAUAAAGACACUAAUCAGGAAGAGUAGACAUUCAGAAGUGGGCUUAAAAUUAGUCGACUAGGACUGUUUGUUAUAAGAGAUUAUUGGUGCAUGGACAUGAUACUAAGAUAGUGUUUGGUAAUAGAAAAUGGGGUAAUAUAUUAAAGUAAUAGGUUAAAUAUAGAAAGAAUGUUAAAAUGAGUAUUGAUAAAGGAAAAUUACGAAUAAUUAUACUAAAAUACACUAAUUAUUUAGAAUAAAAAUAGAGGAUAUAUAGGUUUGAAAAAGGAAUUUGGCAAAUAAGAACUUCGCCUGUAUAGCAAAAACAUGGCUCUCUGCUGAGAAUAGAGAGUUAGGCCUGCCCAGUGACGAUGUUAUUAUUUAAUUAGUUAAAUGGCCGCGGUACCUUGACCGUGCGAAGGUAGCAUAAUCAUUUGCCUUCUAAUUAGAGGCUGGUAUGAAUGGUUAGACGGAAGUUCUACUGUCUCUACACAAACAAAAGAGAAUUUAAUCUUUAGGUUCAAAAGCCUAAAUACGAUUAAUAGACGAGAAGACCCUAGCGAGCUUAAUUUUAUAGUUAAGGAGUAUAUGUUAACUCUAAAUUUUGGUUGGGGCGACUUAGGAAAGUGGAGCAUCCUUUAAAUAACUAAGGAAAGUAUUAUAUUUGCUGAUCCAGUAGUGAAAUACUGAUUAUUAGGUGAGUUACCGUAGGGAUAACAGCGUAAUCUUUUUUGAGAGCUCAAAUCGAAAAAAGGGUUUGCGACCUCGAUGUUGGACUAGGAUACCCAGAGGGUGCAGAAGCUCUCAAAGGUUGGUCUGUUCGACCAGUAAUAUCCUACGUGAUCUGAGUUCACACCG